rnacentral:lncRNA from 1 species
UUCGUAGUCACUAAAAAAUUCGGCAAACUAAACUGUAGUUGACAUCUGUGAAGUGAUGCACGAAUCGUUGCAGCACGAGAUGCUGAGGGAGGCCAAGCUGGUGACGCCCGAGAGGCCCGAGACGUGCGUUGUCGUUUUGGGGCUUCGGCAAGCUUACAUUUGUGCUCCUCAAAUUCGGCCUGGGUCAGCAGUUUUUUCGAUUGCGGAAUUGGUU